GCAAGAUGAAAUGAGUUCUGGAGAUGGGUUGUACAACAAUGUGAAUGUGUGUAACACUACUGAACUGAACACUUAAAAACGGUCAUGAUGAUGAAUUUUGUUAUGUGUAUUUUGCCACAAUUUAAUUCAAAAAAUAUAAAUACACACAAAAUGUCUGCACAGAAACCCUGUUUUUGAAGGAAAUGCCCUGUAUUGUCAGUGAGUCAGACGUGGGCUGUGCUCCCAAACCUGGGUGGAUUGUGCCCUCUGUGGCCCAUCACUGCAGAGGGUGUCAGUGUGAGGAGGAAAAAAAGGGGAGUGGACAGGCUCUGGGCCACAGGCCCACUGCCCACUGUGGGACAGAGAGUGCUUCCCUGCUCUCAGGAGAAGAGAAAGCAUGUUGCUCAUGCACAUAACACAUUCACCUUAUAGGGGGCCACUGGACUUCUAGCUUCCCAGACCUGGUUCAUCUAAGGGAAAGCCAUUUGUAGGGGCAGAAAUGUUCCUAACUUCCUGUUCAGGGUCUCUUAAUUCUAUGGACAUGAAUGACGGCAAGGGCCAUUAUGCAUUGAUUCUGAUGUGCAGAGUUCCAGUCUGAGCAGGACUAUGCCUGUUGUACAGACUGGAAAGCUGUGACUUCAAGGGGUUAAGAAACCAGCCAGAGGCCGCACAACCAGCAAGCCGCAGAGGUGGACGGAGCCAGGCCGUUGGGUUCUGUUUGGGUUGUUUCUUGCUAUUUAACAGACUGCCCUAAAUCUCAGUGACUUAACACCCAUUUUGUCACCUCUCUGGGUUGGGUAGGGUGGGGGCUCAGCUGGACACUUCUCCCGCUGUUUUUCUUGGGGUCUUUCCUGUAGUUUUAGCUCGAUGGUGGAGGGGCCGGGGGUCAUCUGGAGGUUAGACCAGGUGGAGGGGCCUCUCUUAUUGUCUCCACAUGUCCUGUCUUGUGGCCUCUCCAGAAGGGUGGCUCAGGGUUCCCAGGAAUGAGUGAUCCAGUGAGAAGCAGCAGCAGCUGUGGCCUCUCGCGGGCAGGCGGGAAACCGACACCGUUCACUGGUAGGUAUUCUGCUGGUUAGGCGUGAGUCAGCGCCUGGCCCAGAUUCCACCCUGGAGGGGCUGCACCAGGGCGUGAACUCUCGGGGCGUGGCUCCCCAACCCUCUUUAGAAACAUUACCUUGAACACCAUAGCUCAGAGCAGUAAUCACCAGUCCACUGAGGCAGCAGAGGGGCCUACGGCUGGGACUGUGGGAACAGGGAAGCUGCACCCAGGGCUUCACCCACAGGCACCAUCGCUUACUCUGCCUGGCUCGCGGGUCGGUGAAGGGAGUGGCUGCCCUUCUGCUCAGCUCGGUCUUUGUCCCAUUAUUUUCUCCAUUUGUUCUGCUGAAGAGACAGCCAGGAGGCAGUGAAGUGGCCCCUCCAAGGUCAAGGCAGCAUGCAAACCCCACCUGCCCGCUGAGCCUGACAUUUAUUUUAUCACAAUGGGUUUCAAGCAGGAAGAUUGCCCUGUCCUGAGGACAGGACAGCCAGCUUCAUGGGCACUUGACAUGAAAACCUCCAGUGGCCUCAGUACCCAGGUGGGGGUGGGAGCACUGCAACCCUCAGGGCAAAACCAAGGAACAUGAAGGUGUUGGGGAUGCACCUGGGCCUCAGCCUGGCAAAGAGCCCAAGAAACACCCAGGUAGACUUUGGGAGUGGGAAAGACUCCACCCACGGUCUCCGAGAGAAGGAGGCUAAUGGGGCAGGGGGUGAAGACAGGAUAAAUGAAGGAACGCAAGAAGCCUAAGGGGGAAGGUGGUUUGAGGGCUGAAGCCCAGGUUGAGACUAGAAGGCCAGGCAGAAGCAUUCAGAUCCCAGGUCCUGUAAAUUCUUUCCCACUGGGGAAAGAAUUUGUCCUACAGGAAGGCUGAGGAAAGGCUCUGCUGAGUCUAUCUUCGCUUUGUUUUUUGCAAGAAAAGUUUUCCUUUUGUGAAAACUUAUCAUACAGAUUGGGCCAUUCUUGUCACACCCAACUAAAACACAGUCAAGAAUCCAGUGGGGAUAGCACCCAGAGCACAAUACAUUGCUCCAAAAAUGUAAUUAUCUGUAGGCCUAGCAGCUGAAACUGCCUGCAGUAGCCUGAAACCAGUUUUAUCUAAGACUCCUGAAAUGACCUGCUGCAACUCUCAGACUAGCUUUGCCCAUGGCUGUCACUUCCCAAUCAGAGCUUGCCAGCUACUCAGAACCUUACUAGUGCUGGUGAAAUUUCUCAAAGAGCAAUGCAUAACAUUUCUUCUUUCUAUAAAACCUCUGACCUUCUAUUUGUUCUUCAGAGAGAGCACUUUUGAUUCACGCUGGAAACUCUCUCCAUCAGUUUGGUUUGCAAA
rnacentral:lncRNA from 1 species